AGUAUAGAUUACGUUAUGCAGUUUAUAUCAUUUUCGUUAUUUUUUUAUUUUAUAAAAAAACAAUGUUUAACACGUCUCCCCUUUUUCGAUUCUUCAGGCUUACACGAAUGAACUGGAGCUUGAAGUGGAGCACUUAAAGGAAGAGAAUGCAAGGCUCAAAAGACAGCAACAACAGUUGUGUGAAGCCGCAUCCAGUGAGCAAAAGAAGAAGGGCACCACCCUAUAUCGAGCAUCUACGGCUCCAUUUUGAGGAGUCUCUAUUUACUAUUUAGUGUCAACGCUCGAUCACAUGCCCCUGAAUCUCCGGUUUACCCUUUUGAAUGAUGAUGAUGUAAUGGGUUUUGGUGCAUUUCUGGAUUCGUGGUCGUGACCCUUCCACGUUGAAAUCCUCCCUUUAUAAAAUAAAUACGUUAGACAGUGAUUUGGGGGAAUGUAUUUAUGAGAUAAUGAGAAGGAAGAAGAAGAAUAUAUGUGCUUUUGCGUUCCCUGCGGGGGACCUCAACCAUAGGAACUUAUUUUGAUGGGUCUUUAUAUGGUAUUGUCCUCCUAACUAGUUUUGAAUUUGACGUCUUGUAUUGCAAUUUUCUUCUUUAUCA